AGUGUGCAUUUGGCCACAGAACCAUUUUGUACAAUAAAAAUUAGGAGAUCUGUGUCAGUAAUAGAUUUGAUAUAGCUAACUAGAAAUAACAUAUUAUUUCAGAGGCCUUAUUUCCUCUCCUGGCAUUCUGUAUUUCUCUAAGAUACAUAUGGAAUUUCAUUGCAUUGCCUGACACUCGGUGCCAUAGCCUCAAAGACUGAUUUUUAACUACAUAAGUUCAGGGACCUAGUAGGGUCAGUGGAUGAGCUUUAAGUGAUCUGUGACUCCUUAAGUUGUUUGCAAAAUGUUGCUUGUGUAUGUGCAAUUAAGUGGGGAAAAAUGUUCUAUUUCCCUAAUUAGGUUUUCAGAGGGCUCCAUGACCCUAAAGAGGUUAAGAACCAAUAGUAAAGAGUUUACAAAACAUUAUUAUUCCCAUUUUAUAAUUAGAAAAUUGAGGAAUAGAAAUUGACAGCAGCUGAUUUGCUGCUUAAGAAAGAAAAUUAGAUGUCAUAGUUCCCUAAUCCUGUAAUGCUAUAAGCUAUUAGAUUAUUAAGACCACUGAAGCAUAUAAAAAAUGGGGGCAUCUGGCCCAAAUUAGGGUCUGUAGGGAGUUGUUUGCCUUCCCAUCAUAUAUCCAGUGAGGGCCCUGCACUCAUGUUGGAGUGGGCCUUUCUCCACUAAACCACCAUAAGCUUAUGCAAUUGGAUUUGAGAAAUUGGCAGCUGCAAGAAACCACCAACCCCAAUGGGGAAAGGCUACAGUCCAGAUAACUGAAAUGUUAACAAGGCAGAAGCACUUAACUUUGGUCUGCCUUAGGUGGCAAAGGAAACCAGAGAAAACAAGUAUCGGGGCUCUGCUAUCAAGGUAAAUCGCAAUACAUUCUUCCCCCAUGACUCUUCCCCAUAUCCUCUCUGUUGAACCUCUGAAGUUAACAAUAGGGGAUAAAAUGCAGGAGGGUUUUGUUGUUAAGAAUUGGAAACCGAAACUUAAUAAAAUUACUUAGACUCUGGAAAGCUCUGGGCAUCAAGAAAUGGGCUGAUAUGUUUUUCUCUUGAGUGGCAGACUACACAUGCUUUCUUUCCUGCCACAAAACCUGACUCUCACAUCUAUUUCUCAAUUCAGAGGGUCUACUGUGUGGAUGCCCAUUUGACUGUAGAUGUCAAAAUCUAGUUACUGAAGUUUAAUUUCCUUAAUCUGAAUUUCAGAUUUUUAUUUUCUGCACUAGGUAGAAAUUGUUGACCACAAUACAAGAUUUCUAAAAUUAAUGUCCUAGAUAUGAAAGAGAAAUUGAAUUUGGUUUUUUAUAUUAAAUAAGCACAUACUUUAAGGGUUAGCUUCUAAUAAGAUGUGCUGGAAUUAAUCGUCAUUCAUCUGUAAUUCUAAAGCACCUAGUUCAUACCUUGAUUGUUAACACUUUUCACUAUUUAUUUGAGUUGUUGCUGUGUUUAUCUCCCUUGCAUAGAUAGUAAAUUUCUUGAGGGUGGGGCCCAGUCUUUUUCGCCUUUUUCUCUUUGUUGCCUGAUACUCAACAAUUACUUCUUGAGUGGGCAAAUAGAAAUUGUUUCUAAAUAAUCAUUUCAUCCUGUUCAGAGUGACCAGUUUGCCAAGAAUUCUAACUGCCUUAAUCUUUUUAAUCAUUGAUAGUAUUGUUUCCUUGUUUUCUUUCUGUAGAUUUUUAACAUGAUUAAAAAGAGUUCUAAAGAAAUAGGUAAGCUUUACAAUGAAAAUCAAUAUUUCUUUCAAAAUCCUCCCUUUUCUAGGUGCAAAGUCCUUCAUGGAUGCAACCUCAACCAUAUAUUCUACAGCACCCUGGUGCCGUGUUAACUCCCUCAAUGGAGCACACCAUGUCACUACAGCCCGCAUCAAUGAUCAGCCCUCUGGCCCAGCAGAUGAGUCAUCUGUCACUAGGCAGCACCGGAACAUACAUGCCUGCAACGUCAGCUAUGCAAGGAGCCUACUUGCCACAGUAUGCACAUAUGCAGACGACAGCGGUUCCUGUUGAGGAGGCAAGUGGUCAACAGCAGGUGGCUGUCGAGACGUCUAAUGACCAUUCUCCAUAUACCUUUCAACCUAAUAAGUAACUGUGAGAUGUACAGAAAGGUGUUCUUACAUGAAGAAGGGUGUGAAGGCUGAACAAUCAUGGAUUUUUCUGAUCAAUUGUGCUUUAGGAAAUUAUUGACAGUUUUGCACAGGUUCUUGAAAACGUUAUUUAUAAUGAAAUCAACUAAAACUAUUUUUGCUAUAAGUUCUAUAAGGUGCAUAAAACCCUUAAAUUCAUCUAGUAGCUGUUCCCCCGAACAGGUUUAUUUUAGU
rnacentral:sRNA from 1 species